rnacentral:lncRNA from 1 species
UUGACCCAUUGAAAAGGGGCUUCACCAUCAACUUGAUAUAGCCAAUAGAAUGUUAGUAAAUUUGAUAUAAGCAGAGGGUUUAAAUACGUUUGGUAUGUAAUUUAGUUUGGUUUCUUGCAUGCCUGCCAUUCACCAUGAGAGAACAUGCCUCAGACAGCUGCUGGUCCAAGGAGGAUAAAACCUGAACACAAUCUGCAAAUUGGAGUCUGGAGCCUGGAUUUCAGCCUAGCCCAGAUCUACCCUAAAAGAAUGGCUAAAGGAAGUCCUAAAAACAGAAAAGAAAUGACGAAAGAAGGAAUCUUGAAACAUCAGGAAGGAAG